UACGAAGGGUGCAAGCGUUACUCGGAAUUACUGGGCGUAAAGCGUGCGUAGGUGGUUCGUUAAGUCUGAUGUGAAAGCCCUGGGCUCAACCUGGGAAUGGCAUUGGAAACUGGCGACCUAGAGUGCGGUAGAGGGUAGUGGAAUUCCCGGUGUAGCAGUGAAAUGCGUAGAGAUCGGGAGGAACAUCCGUGGCGAAGGCGGCCUCCUGGACGGUGACUGACGCUGAGACGCGAAAGCGUGGGGAGCAAACAGG
rnacentral:rRNA from 1 species